GACGUAGGGCGCGAGCGUUGUCCGGAUUUAUUGGGCGUAAAGAGCUCGUAGGCGGCUUGUCGCGUCGGCUGUGAAAUCCCUCGGCUCAACUGAGGACGUGCGGAAGAAACUGCAGGGCUGGAGUCCGGGAGAGGAGGGUGGAAUUCCCAGUGUAGCGGUGAAAUGCGUAGAUAUUGGGAGGAACACCGGUGGCGAAGGCGGCUCACUGGCCCGGUACUGACGCUGAGGUGCGAAAGCGUGGGGAGCAAACAGG
rnacentral:rRNA from 1 species